UUAUCAAUUUCAUUGUAAAAAAAUUUUUCAAUUUUCCUUUCAAUAUGUUUAAAAUAUUCAUGUUUCAACGUCAGCUGUCAACGUCAACGCAGAACAGAUAAAAGCAGAUUUGAAUAUCCGACCUUGUCAGUCAGCUGUUGUUACUAGGCCAAGGAUGGACGGGUGAUAUCGACACCCGGACCAUGAAAAAAGUUUAUAUGUUUUUUGUGCAACGUGUAUGUGGCCGUUUCUUUCUGUUUUUUGCUGUUUGCUGUUGUACGGAGGACUAAGUUAGCAUUCAAAAUUUAAAAAUCAAAUGUACAUUCCUAAGAUGCACUUUUUUACACCUCUAUGUAGCGGUACUUUUUUAGUAUUUGACCAUUAGCUCCGAUGAUGACGUUUAUGUCGAAAGCGCUCAGCUAAGGAAAUAAAAUUAUUUACACACUUUGACAUACUACAUUUUCAUUUUCCCUUAUUCAUUCAAGUGUGUACAAACUUAUCAGUCUUUCAACUAUUUUUAUACUACAGUAUGGUAGUGGACACCGAAAAGUACCUUAGACUGUCUACUAAGAGGGAACUACGUUAUAUUGACAUUUGGUUCAUACAUCAGUGCCUCAAUUUUCAUCUAACUCCGAAGUUUGCAUCACUUAAAACAUCUAAGAACAUUCCUAUUAAAUUAAAGUCUGAAAUAGAGAGAAAACUACUCAAGAAACAAAUAUGUAUUCAUUAUGCUAAAAUUAACUCCUUUGACAUUGAACUUAAAAUUCUGUAUGACAAGAUUGUAGAGGUCACUCCUUUUCUAGUUUUUCAGCAGAUGCUUCAAGAACACCAUGAAGAAUUAGCACUAAUAAAACAGGUCAAGUUUGAUAAAAUUAACAAGAAACUUAAUUAUUUAAAAGCUGAACGUUCAGGUAACAAAUAUCCUAAUAACUAUAACAAUAACAGCAGGAAUCAGGUGAGUCACUUUUCUUCUCAUAAAUUUCAUACCAGGGUGAAAAACUUAUCAAAUUGCAACUUUAAUAAUGAAGAACUUGAUUUUCUGAGCAAGGGUUUAAAAUUCAGCACACAAUCAAAACCAGAUACUAACAACAUUGAACUGUUAUGUGUAGAGAUAGAUAGCAUUAUAAAUAGUUUAGAUAUUUCAAUAUCAGUCAAAAAUAACAUAAAAACAGCAUGUCUUUUUCAAUUGAAUCAACAAUAUCAUAGAUACACUAACAACAAAAAAUUGAUUUCUACCUAUCACUCACAAACAAAAAUUAUUAAGUCGAUUGCUCAAAAAAUAAGAACACAUGAACUCACAAUAACUAAAGCAGACAAGGGGAAUUGCCUAAUAAUAAUGUACAAUAAAGACUAUGUAAAUAAGGUUGAAAAUUUUCUAUCAGACAACGCAUUUAUACCACUCAACAAAAGUCCAAUGAAUAAGUUAAACACUGAUUUAAAAGCUAUUUUAUCUAAUCACUCAACCUUCUUUGAACAUCUUCAAACUAAGCCCAAGUCAUUUAUUAUCAGUAAUCCUCUAACACCACGGCUAUAUGGACUUCCAAAAAUCCAUAAAUUAAAUUUCCCAAUUAGACCCGUUGUCAGCUUUGUUAAUACUCCUUUGUCAAACCUGGCACAGUUUGUAAACAAACUACUGAACGAUCUUAUUAACUAUUCUCCUAAGUAUACAGUUAAAAACACCCAAGAGUUAGUCUCUAAACUGUCUUCCAUACCUUUGCCAUCCAACUUCAUUAUGGUCUCCUUCGAUGUGACAAAUCUCUUUACAAAUGUUCCAAGACAAGAAACCAUACCCAUUAUUAGUGAUUUAUUAUUAUCCAACAACAUAGAUCCUCAAAAAAUCCUUCACAUCACAUCUCUGUUACAAUUUUGCCUGUCUCAAGAUUUUUUUAUAUUUAACAACAAACUAUACAGACAACCAGAAGGGUUAGCCAUGGGAAAUCCACUCUCUCCUUUGCUAGCUGAUCUUUUCCUAGAUUCACUUGAAACUAAGUUCGUUCAGUCACGUCCUGAAAUUAUUCUAUGGCACAGAUAUGUAGAUGACAUUUUAGCAUUCAUUGAAGGUCCCACCAAAACACCCAAUCACAUCCUAUCUUUGAUCAAUGGUCUACACCCAUCCAUCAAAUUUACACUAGAGACUGAAAUCAACAACAGUAUUAACUUUCUAGAUCUAACUAUUGAAAAGACACCUUCUAAACUAGAAUUCUCAAUCUUCCGAAAACCUACACAAACUGACCACAUCAUCCCAAAUUCAUCUAAUCAUCCAUACCAACAAAAAAUGUCAGCUUUUCACUGUUACGUACAUAGACUGUUGAACAUCCCUAUGUCCAAAGACAACUACAAUAAUGAGGUUUCUAUACUAAAACAGUUAGCAGUCAACAAUGGUUACUCUCCUUUGAUAAUAGACAACAUUAUAAGAAAGAAAUUGCUCAAAAUAAAAUUAAAUCAAGCCUUUAACACAGAAGAACACACUUCCAAAAACUGCAUUUACAGAUCUAUUUCCUAUUUGGGACCAAUUUCAGAUAAACUGUCAAGUGUAAUAUCAAAUAAAGUUGAGAACCUCAAAAUUUCAUUUAAAACUAAAAAUUCAAUCAAAUCACUGUUUAGUAAAACCAAAGACAAAUUAGAUAAAUUAAAUAAGAGUGGCAUAUACAAACUAUCAUGUGGUGAGUGUAGUACCACCUAUGUAGGAAGGACAAUGAGAACCCUUUCUCAGAGAAUCAAGGAGCAUGUCAGAACUCCAGAAAAAUCAAACUUUGGCUAUCAUGUUAAAUCUACCAAUCAUUCCUUCUCUCCUACUAAAGACAGCCAAAUUUUGCAUAACAUCCCAUCUAAAAACUAUAGAUUAAUGAAUUUGUUGGAGGACCUGGAGAUUUCUAGAGAGAUGAAGUCUAAUCCUGAUUUUUGUGUUAAUACUCAGAUCAAUUUAAAUUGUAAUUAUAAACCUCUCUUCAAGUAUCUGUGGGAGACAGUUGAGUAGUGACCUCUUGCAAUCUUUUAUGUAUAUAAAAACUAUUGUAUUUUUAUUCAAAAUUUAAUUUUAUAACUUUAUAUAAAAAAAAGGAAAACAUUUGACUAUUGGUCAGAUUUAUAUAUACAUUAUUAAUACAGAUUCUACCAACAAGUAAUGAGAGCCUUAGAAAUAAAACACCUAACAACAAAAGUGUUCGAAACUAUUUUGUUAAAAAUUGAAUUCCACCGAACACUAUAUCCUUCUAUUUUGUCAUCAACGUCUUACAACAAUAGACACUGAAUAUACCCAUUUUAAGAUCAUAGCAGUUAAUAAAAUCAUUUAAUAUUUCUACAUAAACAUUAGGUUUUCAACUUAAUAAAAUAUCAAUACACCAAGUCAAGGUCAUUGCAAUGACUUACAUAAAUGACAAAAAGAUGAUAAAUAACAACAAUAUAAUAUUAUCUCAAUCUUUAACUUCAACAAGCUAACAUCUUCUGAAUAUUGAAUUUGAGAAUUCACAAUCAAAAUUGAUCUUUCUCAUUACUUUCUGUUUAAUAAUUUUUUUUGUUUUUUAAUUUAAUUUUUUAACUUAACACAGUGUAUGUAAGUUGGGCCUAUUAGUCUCAAAAUCAAGCAUGUCAUCAAUUAAUUUAAUAGUUGAUUAGUACAAACAUCUAAGGUACAUUUCCUUAUCAAUUUCAUUGUAAAAAAAUUUUUCAAUUUUCCUUUCAAUAUGUUUAAAAUAUUCAUGUUUCAACGUCAGCUGUCAACGUCAACGCAGAACAGAUAAAAGCAGAUUUGAAUAUCCGACCUUGUCAGUCAGCUGUUGUUACUAGGCCAAGGAUGGACGGGUGAUAUCGACACCCGGACCAUGAAAAAGUUUAUAUGUUUUUUGUGCAACGUGUAUGUGGCCGUUUCUUUCUGUUUUUUGCUGUUUGCUGUUGUACGGAGGACUAAGUUAGCAUUCAAAAUUUAAAAAUCAAAUGUACAUUCCUAAGAUGCACUUUUUUACACCUCUAUGUAGCGGUACUUUUUUAGUAUUUGACCAUUAGCUCCGAUGAUGACGUUUAUGUCGAAAGCGCUCAGCUAAGGAAAUAAAAUUAUUUACACACUUUGACAUACUACAUUUUCAUUUUCCCUUAUUAAAAAUAUCUAUUAAAUGAGCCCCCGAACAUGUUGAUGGCGUUAAAAUUUAUUCUCCAAAAUAUUUUCAAAAUUUAUCUUUUAACAAUUUUUCCAAAAAAUGGUAUUGUUUUUUUUAAUAACUCCGUUCUUGUUUACGAUAUCAGGUUCAUAUAAAAACUGUUUGAAACUUAAUUUCAAGUGCUAUUUAAGCACAUUGAACAUAAUCUUUUAAACCCCUUACUUUUUUAAAAAUAAAAGGUUAAAUGACCCCGGUUGCAUGGUUCCCACAGCAAAAUUUAAGAUUUAAACGUUUCUAUCUCGGUUAUUUUUUACGCUAUAGAAAUAGUAAGACAGGUAAAAUAUUUGGCACAGAAAAAUAUAAAAUUUGGUUAUAUAUAAU
rnacentral:misc_RNA from 1 species